rnacentral:rRNA from 1 species
GACGAACGCUGGCGGCGUGCUUAACACAUGCAAGUCGAACGGUAAGGCCCUUUCGGGGGUACACGAGUGGCGAACGGGUGAGUAACACGUGGGUGAUCUGCCCUGCACUUUGGGAUAAGCCUGGGAAACUGGGUCUAAUACCGGAUAGGACUACGCGAUGCAUGUCGUGUGGUGGCAAGCUUUUGGGGUGUGGGAUGGGCGCGCGGCCUAUCAGCUUGUUGGUGGGGUGAUGGCCUACCAAGGCGACGACGGGUAGCCGGCCUGGGAGGGUGUCCGGCCACACUGGGACUGAGAUACGGCCCAGACUCCUACGGGAGGCAGCAGUGGGGAAUAUUGCACAAUGGGCGCAAGCCUGAUGCAGCGACGCCGCGUGGGGGAUGACGGCAUUCGGGUUGUAAACCCCUUUCAGCACAGACGAAGCGUAAGUGACGGUAUGUGCAGAAGAAGCACCGGCCAACUACGUG